UCCGGCAGCCGGCUUCCCAGGGCCAGUCUCCCCACCGCCAUCUUGGACCUGGACACCCACCCAGCCAGGGGCCCCUGAACUGUUAGAGCCGCGCAAGUCAGGUUCAAGUCCUUGCCCAGACUCUUCGCAGCUGUGUGGCCUCGGGCAAGUUGCUCAACCUCUCUGGCUCUGUGCACGCACCUGAAAAGUAGGAGUGAUUAUUGCACUACCUUUGACCAAGGGUCACAGAGUUGCCAAUUCUGGAGGCCCGGCGUGUGAAAUCAGUCUCACUGGCCGGAAGCCAGGAGUCAGCAGGGCCGGUCCCUCCUGGAGAACCUGCGUCCUUGUCUCUUCUACCUUCCGGAAACCACCCGCCUUCUUCCCUUCAGGGCCCGUCCUGGCAGCAGCCCAACCGCUGGCCUCUGUCGCAUCCCUCCCGCCUCUGACCCGCCAGCCUCCCUUUUAUAAGGACGGGUGACUGUCUACAGGACCCACCUGGGUGACCCAGGAUUCCCUCCCCAUCUCAAGACCCUUCACCUACUCACACCUGCACUCUCUUUUUCCAUGUCAGGCCACACCCACAGGUUCUGUGGAUUAGGACGUGGUUGUCUUUUGAAGGCUGUUACUCAGGGGUUUGGUUUGGGACAUACUGCGCCAAGAUGCCCACGAGGUAUGCAGGGAGGAAUGCCGAGAGGGCGGUUUGAUGAAGGAAUGUGGAUGCCAGGGAGAAGCCCAGGCUCGUGAGUGUGUGAACACCAUUGGAAGCUGUGGAACUGGAGAAGACGGGCAGAGACACAAGGAGAGAAAAGAAAAUGAAGAGAUUAAGCCAGGAGGCCCGGCCUCUGAAUGUCAGGAGCUCCACAAAGAAAAACAACACAAAACACAGAAAACAGAAGAAAUGAAGUCAUCAAAGAAAAUGUUAAGGAAAACUCGAAGAACCAAAGGCUGUGGACACCUUGAUCACAAGAAAGCCCACCAAGUUGCCAGCACAAUUAAUAAAGAUCCACGCCAGGCGCUUCAUCAUGAAAGUUUGAGUCAACAGGGAUAAAGAACAGACCCAAGGAUCCACACCGAACAAAAGCAGAGCAUCUUCAGAGGCUGCGGCCGCAGGACGGCUCCACAGCCCCUGGAUGCAAGGGGACAAUGGCACGAACGCCUUUAAAAUUCCCCUGUGAUGCUCUCCAACCCAGAGUUCUCUACCCAGCCACACUACCAGUCAACUGUGGGCACAGAACAAAGACACUCUCAGAAUGCAGGAUCUUAACAAAAUGACUUCCCAGUGCCCUCAAGGAGCUACUGGAAGAUGCUGUUUGCCACGAACGAGAGGCAAACUCAGGAAAGCAGAGAAUAGGAUCCAGGAAACAGCUAUUCCGGGCGAGAGAUGGGGCAAGCAGACUUCCCAGGACAACAGCGAAGGGAAGUCCCCGGGCAACAGUCGUGCAGCAGAGUAGAGAGCAACCCAUCCAGACGGAGGCAUAGUAACUCCUAGAAGAACGAAAAAUUAUAGAGGAAAGAAAAUGUAAUCUUAGUAGAUAUUUCUGCGGUCGUUAAAUAUACCUGUUCCUUCAAAUCUGGCCUUCCGUAAACCCAUUCACUACCAUUAACGGGGCUUACUCAGAAAAGAGGGGCAGACACCGACUACUCAAAGCCUAUGGGACAUUUUCAAGAACUUGGGUUUAUCGAGGUAUAAUUUGUAUACAGUGACAUUUUUCCUUCUGACGUGUACGGUUUGAUGAGUUUUGAAAAAUGUAAAUAGUUCUGCAACCACCACCACUAUCGGGAUAUAGAACAUGUCCAUUACCCAACACAGCUCCCUCCGUCUCUGUCACAGCCAGUCCCCCACCUCUUCCGGCCGCGAAUGAUCUCAUGUCUGCCCUGUGCCUACGCUGUCCCUAUAACAGCCCACAAUGUCGUAGGAACGGAAUAAUAAAGUAUGUCUUCUUUUGCGUCCAACUCCCU